AUUGAACGCUGGCGGCAUGCCUUACACAUGCAAGUCGAACGGCAGCGCGGGAGCAAUCCUGGCGGCGCGUGGCGAACGGGUGAGUAAUACAUCGGAACGUGCCCAAUCGUGGGGGAUAACGCAGCGAAAGGUGUGCUAAUACCACAUACGAUCUACGGAUGAAAGCCGGGGUUCGCAAGACCUUGCGCGUAUUGAUCUGCCGAUGGCAGAGUAGGUAGUUGGUGAGGUAAAGGCUCACCAAGCCGUCGAUCCGUAGCUGGUCUGAGAGGCCGACCAGCCACACUGGGACUGAGACACGGCCCAGACUCCUACGGGAGGCAGCAGUGGGGAAUUUUGGACAAUGGGCGAAAGCCUGAUCCAGCCAUGCCGCGUGCAGGAUGAAGGCCUUCGGGCUGUAAACUGCUUUUGUACGGAAAGAAACGGUGUUUUCUAAUAAAGAAGGCUAAUGACGGUACCGUAAGAAUAAGCACCGGCUAACUACGUG
rnacentral:rRNA from 1 species